CGUGUACACAUCCUGCUCUCUCUCUCUCCUCUCUUAUUCACCCCACGAUCUCCUCUCUCCCAUCCAUCUCGUUCUCUGCUCUCCUCUCGUCUUUCCCACUGACCGACCUCCUCCCUCUGCCCGAGAUCCAGCAACAGCAGCGGCGCCCGGCGCUUGGAGGACCUGCAGCGGCACCGUCGGAUCCACCGGCCACGACCCCGUCGCGGAUCCGGCACGGAGGCCACCGGAUCUGGCCUCUCUUGUCCUCCCGCGCGCGUCCUCCUCCCUCGAGCUCCUGCAGCAGCGGCCGCGGAGGACCAUGGAGCAGCAGUGCUUGGAGGCCUUGCACCGGCGCCCCCGACCCUGCCCGCGGUCGGAUCUGGCGCCCCCGAUGUGAAGCAAUGCCAUAUUUCUUGAUCUUGUUUCUGUCCAAGCUAGGGUUCUUGAUCUGCUUUGUGUCCAUGUCGUGUGUUUGUGACGCGGCGAGCUGCCGAUUCCGGCCGGCAUUCCGGCCUGUAUUUUUUUAAAUCGUGAAAUUAGUAUUGGUGUCGGUCGCA